GAUGAAGAACGCAGUGAAAUGCGAUAAGUAAUGUGAAUUGCAGAAUUCAGUGAAUCAUCGAAUCUUUGAACGCACAUUGCGCCCGCCAGUAUUCUGGCGGGCAUGCCUGUCUGAGCGUCAUUUCAACCCUCAUGCCCCUAGGGCGUGGUGUUGGGGAUCGGCCAAAGCCCGCGAGGGACGGCCGGCCCCUAAAUCUAGUGGCGGACCCGUCGUGGCCUCCUCUGCGAAGUAGUGAUAUUCCGCAUCGGAGAGCGACGAGCCCCUGCCGUUAAACCCCCAACUUUCCAAGGUUGACCUCAGAUCAGGUAGGAAUACCCGCUGAACUUAAGCAUAUCAAAAGCGGAGGA
rnacentral:misc_RNA from 1 species